UUGUGGCAUUUGCAAACAUUUCAUGGUUUCCAAAAUAGUGAUACAUUCAGGUGUACGAUAUGUAACAGCGCAUUCACAACUAAAAGUUCCUUUAAAAGGCAUCUUACAAAAGUUCACAGAGAAAUAUUUGUGGAAAAACAUUGCGGCUCCACGAAAAAAUUACCAAGUCAAAGUGAUUUUAGGAAUUUGGAAAAAAAUAUACUACACAAAAAAUAUGUACCUAAAGAGGUAUGCAUCGAGAGCCACUGUGAAGAGACUUCUGAUUCUGGAACAUUCGAUGAAGUACCAGUAAUAGAAAAUCUUUUUGAAAAUAAUUUAAAGUUUCAGACUGGUUUGUAUUCCAUAAAUAACUUAAGUCGAAAGGACGCUGAAAAUAUUCAGACUUCUCAAUACAAUCUUGUAAUUUUACCACUUCUAGACGUUUUCAAAAAAUUUGCUGGCAAAUUAGAUUUGGAUUCAAAGCAGGAAUUAUUUAAAACUAUUCGUUGUUGCAAUGAAGUUUUGAAUUCAAUAAAAUCUGAGUACUUAUUAACUAAAGAACUUAAAAAAAGAGAUUUGUGUGAAGAUUUAAACAUUUCUGUCAUUGACAAAAGCGGCGAGCUCAUUCACAAAAAAGGCAAUUUAACUUUCGCUGAAAAAGAGACCACAAUGGCAACGCUUUCCCUAAGACAUUCUUUCAAAAAAAUUCUUCAAAAAGAUAACUUAUUGUUAAAAAUGAUUGAUCAUAUGGAAUCUUUAAACAAAUCUUCGCAAUUUACCAACAUCGUGCAAGGAGAUAUGUGGAAAAAGAAGGCCGCUAUGUAUCCCAACCAACUUGUAAUUCCUUACUUUCUAUAUUCCGACGAUAUAGAAUUAAACAAUCCUUUGGGUGCACAUUCCACAACUCAUACCGUAACAAACUUUUACUUCUCUUUUCCUGUUUUACCAAAUGAAGAUACCAAAUUGGACCAUAUAUUUUUAGCGGCAUCAAUUAAAAGUAGUGACUUGCAAGUACAUGGAAUCGACAAGUGUUUGUUACCACUUGUUAACCAGUUAAUAGAUCUAGAAGUGGCAGGCAUUGAAAUCGAUUUAAACAACGGUAAAGUGUAUAAUCCUCACUUUUUGCCUUGUUUAAUUAUUGGUGAUAAUUUAGGUCUUAACACCAUAUUAGGCUACAGAAAAUCAUUUAGUGGUACAUUUUGCCGAUUAUGCAGAAUUGACAAAAAUAUGAGUAACGUAACAACGUCCGCUAUUCCAAGUCUUAAGAGGACAUAUGCAAAUUAUAGGCUUGACGUAAAUACCGGGGAUCCAUCUAAGACUGGCAUCGUAAGCGAAUGUGUAUUUAACAAAAUUCCGUCUUUCCAUGUUGUUGACAACUUGAGCGUAGAUGCAAUGCACGACGUUUUCGAAGGAAUUUGUCAUUAUGAUUUGUCUUUUGCCAUACUUUAUUUCACAAAUACCAAGAAAUAUUUCUCUUUGAAAACCCUUAAUGCUCGAAAACAAAAGUUCGAUUACGGGGAACUUGAAAUAGGAAAUAUUUCGCCCAAAAUUACUAUAACUCAUCUCAAAAAUCGCCAUUUAAAAAUGUCAGCAAAGGAAAUGAUGACGUUUUUAUUAUAUUUUCCAUUAAUUGUUGGUGAUAUGAUUCCAGACGAUGAUGAGGUGUGGAUAUUUAUUUUAACACUUAUACAAAUUGUAGAAAAAAUUCUCAAAUUUUCGGUUACGGAGUUUUCUAUAAGUUCUUUAGAAAAUCUAAUUGAAAAACAUAAUAAAGAUUUCAUUAGGCUUUUUAAAACUAAUUUGAAACCAAAAUAUCAUUUGUUAGUUCACUAUCCGGAAAUAAUAAGAAAAUGCGGACCUGUGCGGAAGUUCUGGAGUUUCCAAUUUGAGUCUAAACACCGCAGUUUUAAGUUGUACACACAUGCUAUAACUUCACGAAAAAACAUAUGUUUUUCAUUAGAGAAAAAAUAUCAGUUCACUUUUUCAAACUUUUUGCUAAACUCGUCUACAAGCAAUAAUCUUGUUGUUUUACAAAAAGAUUUAACCGUGUGUGAAUUAAAUGAUGAUAUAUGUGCUCAACUUAAAAUACCUAAAAGACAGUUAUAUUUUUAUAAUAAGGUUAUAUUACAAAACAUUGUAUACAAAAAGGAUCUUUUCGUUGCUGAAUGCGAAAUUGACUAUAAUAUUUAUAGAAUUAUAAAUGUAUUUUGUUUGGAUAACCAUAUUUAUAUAUUUGGUGAACGAUUUAAAGACGUUGUUUAUUGUAGCCAUUAUAGAGCUUUUGAGAUACACGUCAACAAAGUAGAGGGAGCCUUUGCGGUCAAUAUCAAAAAUCUUAUUGGACAUCCAACAACAGCCAUAAAAACCCAUACAGGAAAAUAUAUGAUAAGAAUAAAAGAGUUAUAUUAAUAUAUAUAAAAAUGGCAGCUAUUGAACAUCAAUUAGAAAUUCUACUCAAAAAAUGGAACUUACUACAUUUACUUUCCAACUUAAAAGAUGAAAAUAUAACGAUUGAUGUCUUACAAAUAAUUAACAGAAAACAUUUAGAGGAACUCACACGAAGAUUUAAAUUAGGAGACAAAAUAGUUUUUGAGUUUAAUAUUAAUAAAUGGAGAGAAGAAAUCGGAAAACCUAUUGAAAACGAAUAUUACUCAGACGUGGCCAAUAUUUCGUCUAUCUCACGGAAAUCUAGCUGUUCUUCUAUUACUUUAUCUCAAGAACCUCUGAAAGAACGCUUUGACUCCAAUACCUGUGUAAAACUGACGACAAUUUUGAACCAAAAUAAAAUUGGCAAAAGAAUUUUAGAGACCUAUAAAAAAUACGAACAUAUAAAUGAAGAUCAACGAAAUUUAAUAAUUACAACAAUAGCUAGUUAUUUUCAUGCAAAUGAGUUGCACAUGUCUUUACAAGAAAGCUAUAAUUUGGAAAAACAAAUAAUAGAAAUGUUUCCCAAUGAGAAACUCCAUUCUUACCGCACCGACAGACGUGGAAAGCUAUAUGUAAAAUACAACAAUAUGAAAAGAAAUCACAUUUAUCAGAAAGAUAGAGAUGUCAAUUCACCUAAGGCAUCCAAACCUGCAGAUUAUAUCGUUUCUGAAGAAAACGCCAAAGAAAUAAUUCAUAGUUUAAAAUACGAUAAUGUCGACCAAGAACAAUUUUUAAAAAUGUGGCAGUCAUGCGCAAAUUACCGAAUACGUCAAAUUUUUGAUGAGCACGAUAACCUUAAGGAUAUAUUUAAAACCUGGCCACAGUAUAAAGAGGGUCUUGGAGUAAAGUUGAUUAACAUGGACUUCGGAGUGCUGCAUAAAGACUACACACCAAUAUUCGAAUGGGAAACUAAACUUAUUACGGUGUAUAAUGUGAUUAAGAAGGAAAAAUACAUUAAAGAUGCUGGAAUUAAAUCAGUUUUCGAUAGAAUUGAUCCAUCAGACGCAGCUUCAAACAUGUCUUUAUUUAUGAUGCGCUUGACUUGGUGUCUACACGGCUACUUAUAUCCAACAUCAAAAUACCUCCGUAAAGAUAAAGAUGGAAAGAAAACGUAUGGGAAAUACACCAUAAAAGACUCCCAAGAAUCGUCAAUAUUCCUCGCACGAAGUAUCCAAGAAGUAGACAACCACUUAAAUUUCUUAGAAAAGAGAAAUGAGAAUAUUCAACCUUUUAUUUUUGUUGUUGGAGAUGACAAUUUAGAAGAUAAUGACUACAAUUUCUAUGUUUAUUUAGACCAUGCAUUGCUACAUUUUGUAGAUUUCCAGCGAGCACUAGAUACUUGCUUCAAAAGCUUUUUCUUAUUUAAUUUAGAAUUUCCCGGAGCAUCCAAUCAGUUCUGGAUCUUUGUUCAAGAGUACUUCUAUGACAUGAAAUCAGCUCACACAAAAAAUUUUUCAAAAAUACUAAAUAUUUUAAGCGAUUUAAAUUAUACCGAGAACUGAUUUAUAUAUAAAUUAUCUACAUUUAAUAUUUAAUUUUGUAUUUGAAUAUAAUUCAAACGCUUAUGUACAUUUUUAAAUUUUAUCACAUUUAUUUAUUAAUUCAUUAUUCUAAGGAAAUAUUGAAAUCUAUAUUCAUUGUAAA